rnacentral:rRNA from 1 species
UACAGAGGGUGCGAGCGUUGUCCGGAAUCACUGGGCGUAAAGGGCGCGUAGGCGGUUCCCUAAGUGUGUGGUGAAAGCUCGGGGCUCAACCCCGAGUCGGCCGUGCAAACUGGGGGACUCGAGCAUGUCAGAGGCAGGCGGAAUUCCGGGUGUAGCGGUGGAAUGCGUAGAGAUCCGGAAGAACACCGGUGGCGAAGGCGGUCUGCUGGGCCAAGACUGACGCUGAGGCGCGACAGCGUGGGGAGCAAACAGG